GGACGGGGCCCGCACAAGCGGUGGAGCAUGUGUUUAAUCGAAGCAACGCGAAGAACCUUUACCAGGUCUUGACAUCCCGAUGCUUAUUUCUAGAGAUAGAAAGUUACUUCGGUACAUCGGUGACAGGUGGUGCAUGGUUGUCGUCAGCUCGUGUCGUGAGAUGUUGGGUUAAGUCCCGCAACGAGCGCAACCCCUAUUGUUAGUUGCCAUCAUUCAGUUGGGCACUCUAGCGAGACUGCCGGUAAUAAACCGGAGGAAGUGGGAUGACGUCAAAUCAUCAUGCCCCUUAUGACCUGGGCUACACACGUGCUACAAUGGUUGGUACAACGAGUUGCGAGUCGGUGACGGCGAGCUAAUCUCUUAAAGCCAAUCUCAGUUCGGAUUGUAGGCUGCAACUCGCCUACAUGAAGUCGGAAUCGCUAGUAAUCGCGGAUCAGCACGCCGCGGUGAAUACGUUCCCGGGCCUU
rnacentral:rRNA from 1 species